rnacentral:lncRNA from 1 species
CGGUGAUAUGGUGAUAACAUAACAGAAUUGUGUAAUAAUAAGGUAGUCGGGUAGUUACCGACAUCCAACAACCAGGGUUGACCUGGUUGCAACGUGCUAUGGGAAACCAAAGCUCAUUUACUUUUUGACAUAAGCAAAUUGCUUGGCUUAUGACAAUUAAUGUUUAUCAUUGAUGUUUAUCAUUAUCAAUGAUGGCAAUGCAUUUUUCUAUCAAGUAUAACAGAGUUUCACUUGCGUGGAUUGAGAGAUGUUAAACAGUAUUGAAGGGUC